rnacentral:rRNA from 1 species
GAUGAACGCUGGCGGCGUGCUUAACACAUGCAAGUCGAACGGAAAUAUCAUGUAGGAAGGUAAGUAGUUUACUACGAACUGGACUUUUUGAUAUUUUAGUGGCGGACGGGCGAGUAACGCGUGGAUAACCUGCCUUACACUGGGGGAUAACACUUAGAAAUAGGUGCUAAUACCGCAUAAGCGCACAGCUUCGCAUGAAGUGGUGUGAAAAAUGACAGUGGUGUCAAGAUGGAUCCGCGUUUGAUUAGUUAGUUGGCGGGGUAAUGGCCCACCAAGACAGCAAUCGAUAGCCGGGCUGAGAGGGUGAACGCCCACAUUGAGACUGAGGCACGGCCCAAACUCCGACGGGGGGCAGCAGUGUGGACUAUGGCACAAUGGGCGAAAGCCUGAUGAAGCGACGCCGCGUGAGUGAAGAAGUAUUUCGGUAUGUAAAGCUCUAUCAGCAAGGAAGAAAAUGACGGUACUUGACUAAGAAGCCCCGGCUAACUACGUGCCAGCAGCCGCGGUAAAAC